CACGUAGGGGGCGAGCGUUGUCCGGAUUUAUUGGGCGUAAAGAGCUCGUAGGUGGCUUAGUAAGUCGGGUGUGAAACCUCCAGGCUCAACCUGGAGACGCCACCCGAUACUGCUAUAGCUUGAGUCCGGUAGGGGAGCGUGGAAUUCCUGGUGUAGCGGUGAAAUGCGUAGAUAUUGGGAGGAACACCGGUGGCGAAGGCGGCCCCCUGGACCGGUACUGACGCUGAGGCGCGAAAGCGUGGGUAGCAAACGGG
rnacentral:rRNA from 1 species